rnacentral:rRNA from 1 species
GAUGAACGCUGGCGGCGUGCUUAACACAUGCAAGUCGAACGGGAAACCUUUUAAUGAAGCGUCGGCAGGUUUCGCUGGUUUCUAGUGGCGGACGGGUGAGUAACGCGUGGGUAACCUGCCUUAUACAGGGGGAUAACAGUCAGAAAGGACUGCUAAUACCGCAUAAGCGCACGGGACCGCAUGGUCCGGUGUGAAAGGCUCCGGUGGUAUAAGAUGGACCCGCGUUGGAUUAGCUUGUUUGUGGGGUAACGGCUCACCAGGGCGACGAUCCGUAGCCGGCCGGAGAGCGUGAAAGGCCACAUUGGGACUGGGACACGGACCCGACUACUAGGCGAGGCAGCAGUGGGGAAUACUGCACAAUGGAGCCAACUCUGAUGCAGCCACGCCGCGUGAAAGAGGAAGUGUCUAGGUAUGUAAACUUCUAUGAGCAGGGACGAUAGUGACGGUACCGGACUAAGAAGCACCGGCUAACUACGUG